GAUGAACGCUAGCGGCAGGCCUAAUACAUGCAAGUCGGACGGGAUCGAGGAGCUUGCUCUUCAUGAGAGUGGCGCACGGGUGCGUAACACGUAUGUAACCUACCCAUAUCAGGGGGAUAGCCUCUCGAAAGAGAGAUUAAGCCCGCAUAAAAUCACACUGUGGCAUCACAGAAUGAUCAAAUAUUUAUAGGAUAUGGAUGGGCAUGCGGAACAUUAGCUAGUUGGUAAGGUAACGGCUUACCAAGGCUACGAUGUUUAGGGGAUCUGAGAGGAUGACCCCCCACACUGGUACUGAGACACGGACCAGACUCCUACGGGAGGCAGCAGUAAGGAAUAUUGGUCAAUGGACGGAAGUCUGAACCAGCCAUGCCGCGUGCAGGAAGACGGCCCUACGGGUUGUAAACUGCUUUUGUACGGGAAUAAACCUACCGACGUGUCGGUAGCUGAAUGUACUGUAAGAAUAAGGAUCGGCUAACUCCGUGCCAGCAGCCGCCGUAAAAC
rnacentral:rRNA from 1 species